AUUGAACGCUGGCGGCAUGCUUUACACAUGCAAGUCGAACGGUAACAGGCCUUCGGGUGCUGACGAGUGGCGCACGGGUGAGUAAUGCAUCGGAACGUGCCCAGAGGUGGGGGAUAACGCAGCGAAAGCUGUGCUAAUACCGCAUGUGAUCUGAGGAUGAAAGCGGGGGACCAAGCAGCAAUGUUUGGCCUCGCGCCUCUGGAGCGGCCGAUGUCAGAUUAGGUAGUUGGUGGGGUAAAGGCCUACCAAGCCGACGAUCUGUAGCUGGUCUGAGAGGACGACCAGCCACACUGGGACUGAGACACGGCCCAGACUCCUACGGGAGGCAGCAGUGGGGAAUUUUGGACAAUGGGCGCAAGCCUGAUCCAGCAAUGCCGCGUGCGGGAAGAAGGCCUUCGGGUUGUAAACCGCUUUUGUACGGAACGAAAAGGCUCUGGCUAAUACCUGGGGCUGAUGACGGUACCAUAAGAAUAAGCACCGGCUAACUACGUG
rnacentral:rRNA from 1 species